AAUGCCUCAAUGAUACUGUCAAAUAAUAAAAAUACUUAUAAAAAUCCUGAACUAUGUGUAACCGUAACAAAUAAAGAUAAUGUUCAGGUGGAAACAAGUACAGAUAUGGAAUCCAACGUUGCACUGAUUUCGCAAAACCAUUUGUCGAGCAAAGAUCCUAAAUCUAAACUAAAUUUAGCAAAUCGGAAUCUAUCCUGGCAGUGGCAGGACAACACUGGUGUUUGGGUAGACUAUUCUGACCACGUGAACAAUUUGAUAAACUACAGACUUCGACAGCGCCCCAUGGCGACGGUCUUGAUUAGUUAUAAUGGUGAAAGUUUUAGAAUUGUAGCAUCAAAGAUGAUACAGAUCAACACAAAAACAAAAGAAAGGCACAACAUUAGAUGCAGGAAUACUUAAUACCAGCGUUGACAAAG